AUGUGUUCCAGUGGAACAAAUGUACGGCAGAGCAUGAGGCUGAAAAACACCCCUGGACUGGAGAGUCCUGGAUCUGCCUUGCGUCACAUACUCAAGAAGAAGCUCCAUGAGAGUGCCUCCCUGUCACCCCUCCCUUCACCUAAACGGCCAAGGUCAACAGUGCCAAAUCCAAACCCUCCUGUGACGGUCCCGUCCCCGGUGCAUGAUGAGGACAUGACCACUCGUGGUCUGCUCAGGGGGAUCAUUCAGACGGAGACCGAAGCAUCGCUGCUGAUGUCUGGUCAGCCUGCGCUUCAGGAAUCAGAGGCGAAUCCAGCCGAGGCCAGUGUGUCCAGCACCGGAGAGAGAACGUCAGUACCUCUUCAAUCACAUAUACUUGUAACCCUCUUCAUGUUGUGCUCAUGUGUGUGUUUUCCUCAGUGAAGGUCUGUCUGGAGUGGAGCUGUCUGAUCUGACUCUAAACACUAAACCCCUGACGCAUGUAGUCAAAGGACUGAGCCACAGGAAACAUGAUUGCAAACAGUAUAGUCGAGGUUCAUGUUUGGAUUUGUUACAGUUCAGGUUUUCUUGCAGAUUUAGUCGCAGCAAACAGCGCAAACUGCCAUGUGAAAGAAAACAGACAGGCUGUAUUAAACUUUCAUUUGAGAAAAAUAUCGCAGUGGAGAUCGCUGAACUCCAACUUACAUGUUGGCAGGUGUUUUCAGAUGAUCAGUGCUUGAUUUGCACAUGGUUGCCAGGUUGGGAAGAUUAAGUAAAACACUGGGCUAAUGUAUCUAUUUCAGAAAAAGGUUGCAGACGAAUAUGCUUAAAUAAUGGAGAAAAAUAGAAAUAAUGAUUGUGAUUAAAAUCUGAUUUAUCGGACUAUAAGAAGAUGUAAGGAUUGAUUGUAUGAUUGAGCCAUUUUGUGUGCUUCAUUCAAAUGUAUUUUCUGUCAGUGGCCUGAACCUGACCUUGAAGACCCCAUUUGUAGAGAAGCACAUUGAGAGGGCGGGGCUUCAGAGGAAGGUGUCCAAUCGGAGGCUACCAUCUGUGGAUGCAUUUGAUGAGGCCGUUCAGAGAUGCUUGGUGCAGGGUCCCAACCAAGGUUUACAUAAACUAAGUCUAAAAUUUUGCAUCAAUCCUAUUUUGUCUGUAUCUAAAAUGGUUAUCUAAUAUCUCUCUCCUUUAGAUCACUCUGUAUUUCAGGAUGGAAAAACUCUAGAAGAUUCUUCAUGGCAGAAGUUCACACUCGGCCUCAAUGAUGUCACAGAGCUUUAUGCCCAGCUUAAUAAAGACGACAAAGUGGGACCGUCUGCA
ensembl:lncRNA